rnacentral:antisense_RNA from 1 species
CUCUGUGACUGGCUUGCUUGAUGGUUAGGGUCUGAUCGCUGCCUGAGACACCAUAUCGGUACUCCUCAGAGUUGAUGCAGAGUGUUCAUAUGAGGAGAGACUUUCCCUUGUCUCUGUCAUCUGUGAUUUCACUUCCCUGACAGAAGACGAAGCUUCCAUCUCAGAUGUUUUCUUAAAUGAUGAAACAGCAUACGCCUCUGUUCUUGUCAGCUCAGGGAAAACAGAUCUGGGGACCUCUUCAUCUCUGCGUUGGGAAGCAUAGGUGGUAUAAUCCCCUCCUGUCACGUCCAACGUUGCAUAGUCAGAAGCUUCGCCCUUGUAGUUGGUGCACACAGCACGGUGAUCACAGGAUCUGGUUUGCCACUGAAAGGAAUCUUGAUGCUGACCACUUCACCUCGGAGAGCAUGAACUGCUCCCAUGCCUUCAAGAGUUUUAGGAUGGCAUCAACUGUUCCAAAAACAUUGCUGAGCUGGACUUUGUAUUUCCCAGCAUGAGUCUUACGUUGGACAUUCUUCAUGACAAGAUGAGUAUAGUGCUCAGUGUUUUCAAUAGUAAUGUUUUCUGAGUUUUGCAAAAGUUUCUGACCAUGGAACCAAGUCAUGGCAGGUACUGGACGACCAAUGUACAUAACAUGAAGCCGAAGUGUGGAACCCACAGCUCCAUAAUAUUUCUCUUUCAGUGGGUAACCAGGAUGGAACUGCGGUGUUGCUUGCAGGAGAAGCUUACUACUGGUUUCUACUUCUCCAACCUCAUUGGUGGCUAUGCAGGCACUGUCUCCAGACUGUCUAUAUUCAACC